rnacentral:rRNA from 1 species
GGUUAAGCGACUAAGCGUACACGGUGGAUGCCCUGGCAGUCAGAGGCGAUGAAGGACGUGCUAAUCUGCGAUAAGCGUCGGUGAGGUGAUAUGAACCGUUAUAACCGGCGAUUUCCGAAUGGGGAAACCCAGUGUGUUUCGACACACUAUCAUUAACUGAAUCCAUAGGUUAAUGAGGCGAACCGGGGGAACUGAAACAUCUAAGUACCCCGAGGAAAAGAAAUCAACCGAGAUUCCCCCAGUAGCGGCGAGCGAACGGGGAGGAGCCCAGAGCCUGAAUCAGUGUGUGUGUUAGUGGAAGCGUCUGGAAAGGCGUGCGAUACAGGGUGACAGCCCCGUACACAAAAAUGCACAUAUUGUGAGCUCGAUGAGUAGGGCGGGACACGUGGUAUCCUGUCUGAAUAUGGGGGGACCAUCCUCCAAGGCUAAAUACUCCUGACUGACCGAUAGUGAACCAGUACCGUGAGGGAAAGGCGAAAAGAACCCCGGCGAGGGGAGUGAAAAAGAACCUGAAACCGUGUACGUACAAGCAGUGGGAGCCUCUUAAUGGGGUGACUGCGUACCUUUUGUAUAAUGGGUCAGCGACUUAUAUUCUGUAGCAAGGUUAACCGAAUAGGGGAGCCGAAGGGAAACCGAGUCUUAACUGGGCGUUAAGUUGCAGGGUAUAGACCCGAAACCCGGUGAUCUAGCCAUGGGCAGGUUGAAGGUUGGGUAACACUAACUGGAGGACCGAACCGACUAAUGUUGAAAAAUUAGCGGAUGACUUGUGGCUGGGGGUGAAAGGCCAAUCAAACCGGGAGAUAGCUGGUUCUCCCCGAAAGCUAUUUAGGUAGCGCCUCGUGAAUUCAUCUCCGGGGGUAGAGCACUGUUUCGGCAAGGGGGUCAUCCCGACUUACCAACCCGAUGCAAACUGCGAAUACCGGAGAAUGUUAUCACGGGAGACACACGGCGGGUGCUAACGUCCGUCGUGAAGAGGGAAACAACCCAGACCGCCAGCUAAGGUCCCAAAGUCAUGGUUAAGUGGGAAACGAUGUGGGAAGGCCCAGACAGCCAGGAUGUUGGCUUAGAAGCAGCCAUCAUUUAAAGAAAGCGUAAUAGCUCACUGGUCGAGUCGGCCUGCGCGGAAGAUGUAACGGGGCUAAACCAUGCACCGAAGCUGCGGCAGCGACACUAUGUGUUGUUGGGUAGGGGAGCGUUCUGUAAGCCUGUGAAGGUGGCCUGUGAGGGUUGCUGGAGGUAUCAGAAGUGCGAAUGCUGACAUAAGUAACGAUAAAGCGGGUGAAAAGCCCGCUCGCCGGAAGACCAAGGGUUCCUGUCCAACGUUAAUCGGGGCAGGGUGAGUCGACCCCUAAGGCGAGGCCGAAAGGCGUAGUCGAUGGGAAA